rnacentral:rRNA from 1 species
UACAGAGGGGGCAAGCGUUGUUCGGAAUUACUGGGCGUAAAGGGCGCGUAGGCGGCCUGUUAAGUCGAACGUGAAAUCCCCGGGCUCAACCCGGGAACUGCGUCCGAUACUGGCAGGCUUGAAUCCGGGAGAGGGAUGCGGAAUUCCAGGUGUAGCGGUGGAAUGCGUAGAGAUCGGGAAGAACAUCAGUGGCGAAGGCGGCCUGCUGGGCUGUUGCUGACGCUGAGGCGCGACAGCGUGGGGAGCAAACAGG